rnacentral:rRNA from 1 species
GACUCCUACGGGAGGCAGCAGUGGGGAAUAUUGCACAAUGGGCGAAAGCCUGAUGCAGCGACGCCGCGUGAGGGAUGACGGCCUUCGGGUUGUAAACCUCUUUCAGCAGGGAAGAAGCGAGAGUGACGGUACCUGCAGAAGAAGCACCGGCUAACUACGUGCCAGCAGCCGCGGUAAUACGUAGGGUGCAAGCGUUGUCCGGAAUUAUUGGGCGUAAAGAGCUCGUAGGCGGCUUGUCGCGUCGGAUGUGAGAGCCCGGGGCUUAACCCCGGGUCUGCAUUCGAUACGGGCAGGCUAGAGUUCGGUAGGGGAGAUCGGAAUUCCUGGUGUAGCGGUGAAAUGCGCAGAUAUCAGGAGGAACACCGGUGGCGAAGGCGGAUCUCUGGGCCGAUACUGACGCUGAGGAGCGAAAGCGUGGGGAGCGAACAGGAUUAGAUACCCUGGUAGUCCACGCCGUAAACGUUGGGAACUAGGUGUGGGGCGACAUUCCACGUCGUCCGUGCCGCAGCUAACGCAUUAAGUUCCCCGCCUGGGGAGUACGGCCGCAAGGCUAAAACUCAAAGGAAUUGACGGGG